rnacentral:rRNA from 1 species
GUGGGGAAUUUUGGACAAUGGGCGCAAGCCUGAUCCAGCAAUGCCGCGUGCAGGAAGAAGGCCUUCGGGUUGUAAACUGCUUUUGUACGGAACGAAACGGUCCUGGUUAAUACCUGGGGCUAAUGACGGUACCGUAAGAAUAAGCACCGGCUAACUACGUGCCAGCAGCCGCGGUAAUACGUAGGGUGCAAGCGUUAAUCGGAAUUACUGGGCGUAAAGCGUGCGCAGGCGGUGCUGUAAGACAGGCGUGAAAUCCCCGGGCUUAACCUGGGAAUUGCGCUUGUGACUGCAGUGCUGGAGUGCGGCAGAGGGGGAUGGAAUUCCGCGUGUAGCAGUGAAAUGCGUAGAUAUGCGGAGGAACACCGAUGGCGAAGGCAAUCCCCUGGGCCUGCACUGACGCUCAUGCACGAAAGCGUGGGGAGCAAACAGGAUUAGAUACCCGAGUAGUCC